rnacentral:rRNA from 1 species
CAUGCAGUCGAACGGUAACGCGGGGGCAACCCUGGCGACGAGUGGCGAACGGGUGAGUAAUACAUCGGAACAUAUCCAGUAGCGGGGGAUAACCUAUCGAAAGAUUGGCUAAUACCGCAUACGAUCUACGGAUGAAAGCGGGGGACCGCAAGGCCUCGCACUAUUGGAGUGGCCGAUGUCAGAUUAGCUAGUUGGUGGGGUAAAAGCCUACCAAGGCGACGAUCUGUAGCUGGUCUGAGAGGACGAUCAGCCACACUGGAACUGAGACACGGUCCAGACUCCUACGGGAGGCAGCAGUGGGGAAUUUUGGACAAUGGGCGCAAGCCUGAUCCAGCCAUGCCGCGUGAGUGAAGAAGGCCUUCGGGUUGUAAAGCUCUUUCGGUGAAGACGAAACGGUUAGCGUUAAUAACGCUGACUAAUGACGGUACUCACAGAAGAAGCACCGGCUAACUACGUGCCAGCAGCCGCGGUAAUACGUAGGGUGCAGGCGUUAAUCGGAAUUACUGGGCGUAAAGCGUGCGCAGGCGGUUUGCUAAGACAGGUGUGAAAUCCCCGGGCUUAACUUGGGAAUUGCGCUUGUAACUGGCAAGCUAGAGUGUGGCAGAGGGGGGUGGAAUUCCACGUGUAGCAGUGAAAUGCGUAGAUAUGUGGAGGAACACCGAUGGCGAAGGCAGCCCCCUGGGUUAACACUGACGCUCAGGCACGAAAGCGU